AGCACGUGAGCUGCCCAUCUCUCCCAGGACCUCUCACAUCCUGCUUUGAUGACUCCUCUGUGCCUAGGGCUCCUCCAGGAGCUACUCCAGGGCCAGCAGCCCGAAUGGUCUAAGACAGCCACCAUCACCACCACCACCACCACCACCACCACCACUGUGAAUCAAAUUGUGUCCCCCAAAAAGACAUGUUGCCAACCCCCAGGACCUGUGAAUAUGACCUUAUUUAUAAAGAGGUUCUUUGUAGAUGAAAUCAAGCUAAGAUGGGGUCAUACUGGAUUCGUGUAGGUCUUACCUCCAAUGACUGGUGUCCUUAAAAGAGGGCCAUGUGAUAACAUAGAGAAACUGGCAGAGGGAAGGACACCAGGUGACAAUGGAGGUAGAAACUGAAGUGACACUUCCACAAGCUAAAGAACAACCAGGAUCACCAGCAACCAUCAGAAACCACAACAGUGUGGCCAAGGAUCACCAGCAACUAGCAUCACCAGCAACCAUCAGAAGCCACAAGAGUGUGGCCAAGCAUGGUGGCUCAUGCCUGUAAUCCCAGUGCUUUGGGAGGCUGAGACAGGAGGAUUGUUUGAGCCCUCGAAUGCAAGACCAGCCUGGGCAACACAGUAAGACACUGUCUCUACAAAAAUAUUUUUAAAAAAUUAGUCGGGCAUGAUGGCGCGCACCUGUAGUCCCAGCUACUCAAGAGGAUGGGGUGGGAGAGGAUUGCUUGAGCCCAGGAGGUCAAGGCUGCAGUGAACUGAGAUUGUGCCACUGCACUCCAGCCUGGGCAACAGAGCAAGACCCUGUCUCAAAAUAAAGCAGCAGCUAGAAGAGUGGCCCGGAAGAGUUUUCCCUCAGAGCCCCCCAAAAGGAACCAAUCUUGCAGAGGCCUCUCUAGGCUUCUAGCCUCCAGAACCGUGAGAGAGUGAAUUUCCGUUGUUUUCGCCACUGGAUUUGAUCCUCAGUUACACAGCCCUACAUAGUAAUGCAAUUGCCAUCCCCACAUCACCUCCCCGCCUGCUGCCCUGGGACGACCUUCACCCCUGCAGCACUGUUGGUCAGACAGGUCUCCUUCUACAUGGUUUGUAGAUGAGAAAAUUGAGGACCAGGGGUGGGAAAAUAAAAAUAGUCACCAGCAUUUCCUGUGCACCUACUGUUCUGCCAGGCCCCAAGUAUGUACAUUACUGGGAUGGGCUCAGCUGUUACAAGAACCCCGUGAAAGAGGGACUAGCAUUAUUCCCCUUUUACAGAUGAGGACACUGAGGCUCCCAGCAGUGAGAUGGCACAGGACUUGGGUCCUGGCGUGCCGGCCCCCAACAGGGUGCCUCACUACCACUCUCCCGCCACCACAUGCUGUGAGAGUUGGUGGAGGCUGGGGGAGGGGUGGGCUUUGCCAUUGCCAGUGCCUCUAUCACCACCUCCAUCACCAGCACCAGUGCUCAAGGCUGCCACUUAAAUCCCUCCCUGGGCCAUGCACUGUUCCGUGGGGUGACUGACACCCCUGGCUGUUAACCCAACAUACUACCCUGUUGGCAGGUGCCCAAUGCACCUCCUUGGAACCCCAUUUGAAAACCCCAACUUAGUCCUAUGCUGGCAGGUCCUGGACUAGAAGAUGGAGGUUUGGCGAGGGAAUGGAAAGUGCCCAGGUUCACACAGUGGGUCAGUGGAGAAGUCAUUCUCAAACCCAGAUCUGAUGUUCUCUCCCCACUGCCCCACCCUGCCUUCAAGCCUACAGAGCCAUCUCCUGGGACACAGGGCUUGUGACAGAGGAGGAUGGGUGGCCACACUGGUUAUUUGGGGUCAAAGGCCUUUUCAUUGUUUCAGACACCAGCCCAGGAGACACGCAAAUCUAUGUUUAACGA
rnacentral:lncRNA from 1 species